rnacentral:rRNA from 1 species
UACGUAGGGGGCAAGCGUUGUCCGGAUUUAUUGGGCGUAAAGAGCUCGUAGGCGGUCUGUCGCGUCGGCUGUGAAAACCCGGAGCUCAACUCCGGGCCUGCAGUCGAUACGGGCAGACUGGAGUUCGGCAGGGGAGACUGGAAUUCCUGGUGUAGCGGUGAAAUGCGCAGAUAUCAGGAGGAACACCGGUGGCGAAGGCGGGUCUCUGGGCAGUAACUGACGCUGAGGAGCGAAAGCGUGGGGAGCGAACAGG